AUCCCUGUAACGCAAUGGAUAGUGUGUUGGACUUCUAAUCCAAAGGUCGUGGGUUCGAAUCCCAUCUGGGAUG
rnacentral:tRNA from 1 species